rnacentral:rRNA from 1 species
GACGAACGCUGGCGGCGUGCCUAAUACAUGCAAGUAGAACGCUUAAGGAGGAGCUUGCUUCUCUGGAUGAGUUGCGAACGGGUGAGUAACGCGUAGGUAACCUGCCUGGUAGCGGGGGAUAACUAUUGGAAACGAUAGCUAAUACCGCAUAAGAGUAGAUGUCGCAUGACAUUUGCUUAAAAGGUGCAAUUGCAUCACUACCAGAUGGACCUGCGUUGUAUUAGCUAGUUGGUGAGGUAACGGCUCACCAAGGCAACGAUACAUAGCCGACCUGAGAGGGUGAUCGGCCACACUGGGACUGAGACACGGCCCAGACUCCUACGGGAGGCAGCAGUAGGGAAUCUUCGGCAAUGGACGGAAGUCUGAACGAGCAAAGCCGCGUGAGUGAAGAAGGUUUUCGGAUCGUAAAGCUCUGUUGUAAGAGAAGAACGAGUGUGAGAGUGGAAAGUUCACACUGUGACGGUAUCUUACCAGAAAGGGACGGCUAACUACGUG